rnacentral:rRNA from 1 species
GCAUAUCAAUAAGCGGAGGAAAAGAAACCAACAGGGAUUGCCCUAGUAACGGCGAGUGAAGCGGCAACAGCUCAAAUUUGAAAUCUGGCCCUAGCGGUCCGAGUUGUAAUUUGUAGAGGAUGCUUCUGGUUAGGUGCCUUCCGAGUUCCCUGGAACGGGACGCCGGAGAGGGUGAGAGCCCCGUACGGUUGGACGCCGAGCCUCUGUGUAGCUCCUUCGACGAGUCGAGUAGUUUGGGAAUGCUGCUCUAAAUGGGAGGUAAAUUUCUUCUAAAGCUAAAUACCGGCCAGAGACCGAUAGCGCACAAGUAGAGUGAUCGAAAGAUGAAAAGCACUUUGAAAAGAGGGUUAAAUAGCACGUGAAAUUGUUGAAAGGGAAGCGUUUGCGACCAGACUUUUUCUAGGGGGAUCAUCCGGCGUUCUCGCCGGUGCACUUCCCCUAGUAGAGGCCAGCAUCGGUUUCCUUAGGGGGAUAAAGGCCUAGGGAACGUAGCUCCUUCGGGAGUGUUAUAGCCCCUGGCGUAAUACCCCUCGGGGGACCGAGGAACGCGCUCUGCAAGGAUGCUGGCGUAAUGGUCGUCAACGACCCGUCUUGAAACACGGACCAAGGAGUCGAACAUUUGUGCGAGUGUUUGGGUGUCAAACCCUCACGCGUAAUGAAAGUGAACGGAGGUGAGAGCCCUUACGGGUGCAUCAUCGACCGAUCCUGAUGUCUUCGGAUGGAUUUGAGUAAGAGCAUAACUGUUCGGACCCGAAAGAUGGUGAACUAUGCGUGGAUAGGGUGAAGCCAGAGGAAACUCUGGUGGAGGCUCGCAGCGGUUCUGACGUGCAAAUCGAUCGUCAAAUCUGCGCAUGGGGGCGAAAGACUUAUCGAACCAUCUAGUAGCUGGUUACCGCCGAAG